ensembl:lncRNA
UUUUGAAGAGACCACUGUUGGUCACUGUUACCAUUACACACUUUUCAUAAUUUUGUCUACAGUUUUUCUCAGAGAAAUUGAGCAGACAGAACACUGACCUGUCCAUGUGCUAUAAUUAUGUGUCUUUGGAUGGAUUCUUUGUAUGAUGAAAAAUCUACUCUUUGAGAAAUACCAAGGUGAACCAAGAAAGACGGUGUAAAGAGAAAAGGACUGAAGCCCAUUGCCAUUACAAAUAAUGUUCCGCAGAAGGAGGUGAUGGUCUUUGAGUGGUCUUUGAUGUCUGGAUCCCUGGGUGCAGGAAGUCAUUGCUCCCAUUUGGAUUUUCUGUCAUUGCUGUUGUGGAAAUGAGGUUGCAUGCAUCCAGCCCAACAAACCAGACUAUCUGGGCUUUUAUGAAACCUUUGCCUCUAAUGAUAUGUAUCUCAGGCAUUUUAAAUAAAUAUUUUCACUGAAUUGUUUGCUGACAUAGGGAAGAAGAUGAAAGAAAAUCAAAGGCAAGAGGGGAAAGUAAUAGUUUAAAACAAACUGUUUACAUAGAAGUGCCAGAGUUUCAUAUCAAAAACAGUUGUCAGUCAUUUUUGCUGCCUUUACCUUUGUUUUCUGGGCAGGAGUUACUUACUUACAGGAAACAGUGCAACUUAGUCUAAUGUAUUUGGCUGUCAAUACUUCUUAACUCUAGUGGAAAUGCUCCCUGGUACCCAUAACAUGUAAGAGAGCUUUAUUGUAUAGAACUGGGCACUCUGUCCAAAUAUGUUAAUAAGUAACACUUUAUGAUUUUUCAAAGUGCAAAAGCUUGAUAGUGUGAACAGUUUGACAUCCAAGAUGUCCCUUCUAAAGAGGAGCAUUUAAAAAAACAGUACACAAGCAAUGUAAGAGUCAAGACCUGAAAGGAAGCUGUAAAUGUAAAAGGUUCUGAAGUAUCACUGGUAGGUUUAAAGCACAAUUUUCAAAUGUACAAAUAAUGACAAAGCUAGAAGACUCAGAAGCUUCUUUCAGUGAUGUUCAGCGAUGCACCACUGUUGUGAUUCUUAACAAAAAUCUCUUGUUUGGUACUGUGCAGAUGACACAAGAAGAGCAGAUAGAAUAGGAAUGACAUUGCUGUUCAUCAGGUGUAAUUUAAGCUAAGAUUUAACUGAAAAAGUAUGCACUGCUAUUCUUCCCUUAGUGUUGAGAAAGAUUUGAUAUUACUAGGCUCCAGGAACAUGUCAGUAGCCUUUUCAUGGGAGAACUUGUCUAAAGAAGUCAUGCAUUUUUGUUGGGC